AGCCUGUCCCCAGCCUUUCCUGCAGGCUGAGGGGCAGCUGCUGCGGAAGAAUGGACCCUGGGGCUGGCUGCUUCUCCGAGGAGCAGUUCCGGGAGGCCUGCGCUGAGCUCCAGCACCCUUCACUUUCCGGGGCCAAAUGGGAGCUGCUGGUGGAGACGUUGGGCAUCAGCAUCUACCGGCAGCUGGAUCAGCAGACUGGGCUUUAUGAGUAUAAGGUCUUUGGCGUUCUGGAGGAUUGUUCACCAGAGCUACUUGCAGAUGUCUACAUGGACUUAGACUAUAGGAAACAGUGGGACGAAUACGUUAAAGAACUCUAUGAAAAAGAAUGCAACGGAGAGGCAGUGGUCUACUGGGAAGUAAAGUACCCUUUUCCCAUGUCCAACAGAGAUUAUGUCUAUGUGCGGCAGCGGCGAGAGCUGGACUUUGAAGGGAAGAAGGUCCUUGUGAUCCUGGCCCGGAGCACCUCUGUGCUGCAGUUUCCAGAGAAGUCGGGUGUGAUUCGGGUGAAGCAGUACAAGCAAAGCCUGGCAAUUCAGAGUGACGGCAAAAAGGGAAGCAAAGUUUUUAUGUGUUACUUCGAUAACCCCAGUGGCCAAAUUCCAUCCUGGCUCAUUAACUGGGCUGCCAAGAGAUUGGAAUCUUAGGUUCCCAGCAACUUUAGAAAUUGGAAGACCAUCUCUCAACAGGUACAGGAAACUCAAAGUAUUUUGGGGAUUUUGAAAGGGGAUGAAUCCACACAAAUCCAUCAGAUGCCCCAUGACCUGCCACCAGGGGAUCAUGGAAUACUGGAAAAGACAUCAUUUAAAGAAUUAUCUCCAACAUAGAUACAUAGAUGGAGCGACCCUUACCACUUACUCUUAACUGAAACUAAAGAGAAUUGACUCUUGAAUUAAUAUUUCCACUUAGAAAGGACACUUGCGUUGGACUGGCCAAUAGAGAGGACUGAUGAGGUCAAAAUCACCUUGAAACAAUGCUCAAACAGAGGAAAAACUACCAGACGAAGAUGAGAAGAAGAUGAUAUUGGAGGGAGACAGCUGACUCAAGCUGUGGGGCCUGGCCCACACACCAGUUACUUUGAUAAUUUCUCAUAUGUGGCUUACGACUAAAUGUUUUUCACAGUCUUAUACAGAGGUAGUUAAUCCAGUUGUUGAGUUCGUGGUCAGUUAUCCAUAUCUCAUACUUCUGGAUUACCUUGUUGGAUUUCUCCACUCCAAGGCCCUUAGGAAAUUAUUCUAGAAGAAAGAAGUUAUAGGUUUGUUUAGGCCACUAUUGAUAUUACUGGAUGAGACUCCUUCACUGGGCCAUUCAACCAUACUUGCUCUGACCAUCACCAUAAACAUAAAUGUUCUUUGAGAUUUUCUCAAGCUCAAUCAGAGCAACAUGCAAAAUUUCGGCCUAAGAAUAUAACCUCUCCAUUUCCAGUUUGGAGAUGGAUUUAUAUGAGUAAUGCCAGACUAUGAUCAUUUGAGUUUAAGGCUCCCUCUAUGUUGGGAAUAAUUAAAACAUACUAAGGAUGGCCAGCCUAAUAAUACUAGGGAAUUUGGAUGGAUGCCUUACGAACAACACCAAUAUAUCAUUUCUUUUAAAGGUUAGGAUUGGUAUAGAACAAAUUAACUCAAAUGACCUAGGGAUAUUCAAGUCCACACCUAAUGGAAGUUCCUAGCUUAAAUUCUUACUUAUAACCUUGCAAACACUACUAGCUAUAUUACUUGUAUUCUUCCUAUGUUAUAAGAUUGCUGUUUCAUGUGUUACCAAGUGUGUGACUGAGCCUCUGACAAAAUGACGACUAGACAACUUGAAGCAGUUGACCAGAGAGAUAGUUUUAUAAAAGAUCAGUGAUGAUAAUCAGGUAAAUUUACAUAUGGAAAGAAGCAAGAAGAAUAAUUUUCUUGAUCAUAACAGACUACCUUGUCAGACACUUUUGGCUAUGGCUAAUAGGGCCUAGUCUAGUAAUAGCACACUGAGUGGCCUAUCAACAAAAUAUUCCCCUGACCUAGGAAUAAGCAUUCCUAGUACUGUGGGACAAAGAGAUCAUUAAAUGCCUCCCAGGCCAUGGUCCAAUUUAUGACCAUGAGGGGCAUUCCCAACUAAAAAUUGUCACUUGCCAUCCGGUGCUACAAGAAUGAAGUCAUUAGCCACUGCAGUCACUGACCUUCAAAGACACCCUGAAAGGAGUUCAGGAUGGAGGUCAGGAAUGAAGCACUCUGUGCUCUGGGAAGAUCUGGCUGAACAGGCCUUCAGAUAGAUGUUUUCAGGAGAAGAUUUUAAGAUCUUCUCAUAUCUAGAAAAGCACUAAACCGUUAUUGGAGACAUCUGCUCCUCAUGACUAGCAGCAACCUUCUGGUGUCUGGCAGAAACCCCCUGCCAAAGUGUGUGCUUGAUUGCACGCAUCCCCUUUCACCUCUGCCUCGUCUCGUCUGAGCAGUUCUUAAGAGCUAUCUGAGAGGCUAGCUCUCUUCUGGGCUAUCGUCAUCAUUUUGCCCCAAAUAAAACUUAACUUACAACUCUCAGGUUCUGCUUUUUGUUUUCCAGUCCAUACCUUCAAAAUAAAAUUUAAAAUAAAACGUCUUCAUGUUUGAUAAGCAGCUUUACCACCAGUCUCUGUUAUCCUACAACAUUCAACACAGGCAACACCUCAGGAGGGUUGGGCCAAAAACAAUUCCAAGGUUCUC